rnacentral:lncRNA from 1 species
AUAGAUGAGCGUUAUUUUAGAAUUUUUGAUCAAUAGGUUAUAUUUUUAAAUAAAUUUUCUAAAAAGUGCUAUUUUGGUAAAGUUAUCAAUUCUUGUAGAGAAAUAAUGUUGACUUGCGAUUAUGGUUGGGAAAUUAGGAUAACAAGAUUUUUGUUGAUCGAUGGGCAUUCUUUUAGAAUUUUUGAUCAAUAUGUUGCAUUUUUUAAAUAUAUUUUAUAAGAACUGCUAUUUUAGGAAAAUCAUCAUUUUUGUAGAGAAAUAUUGUAGAUUUGGGAUUGAGAAAUUAGGAUAACAAGAGUUUUUGUUAAUAGAUGGGCUUUCUUUUAUAACAUUUGAGCAAUAGGUUGCAUUUUUUAAAGAAAUUAAAAACUGCUAGUUUUGGAAAGUUAUUACUUUUGUCGAGAAAUAUUGUAGAUUUGAGAUAAGUUUUUGUUGAUAGAUGGACAUUUGAUAAGAAUUUUUGAAUACUAUUUUAUAUUUUUUAAAUAAAUAUUUCUGAAAUUUCUAUUUUAAGAAAGUUAUCAUUUUGUUGAAGAUAUUGUCGAUUUGAGAUUGUGAUUGAGAAUUAGGAUAACAAGAGUUUUUAUUGAUAGAAGAGCAUUCUUUUUGAAUUUUUGAUCAAUAUGUUGCUUUUUUAAAUAAGUUUUGUAAAAACUGCUAUUUUGGGAAAGUCUUCAUUUUUGUAGAGAAAUACUGUAGAUUUGGGAUUGUGAUUGAGAAAUCAGGAUAACAAAGCUUUUUUUGAUAGAUGGACAUUCUUUUAGAAUUUUUGAUCAAUAGGUUUUAUUUUUAAAUAAAUUUUCUAAAAAGUGCUAUAUUGGGAAAGUUAUCAAUUUUGUAGAGAUAUAUUGUAGAUUUGCGAUUAUGAUUGAGAAAUCAGGAUAACAAGAGUUUUUGUUGAUCAAUGGCCUCUUUUUUAGAAUUUUUGAUCUAUAUGUUGCAUUUUGAAAUACAUUUUAUAAAACUGCUAUUUUUGGAGAGUCAUCAUUUUUGUAGAGAAAUAUUGUAUAUUUGGGAUUGUGAUUGGAAAAUUAGGAUAACAAGAGUUUUUUUUAUAGAUGGGCAUUCUUUUAGAAUUUUUGAGCAAUAUGUUGCAUCUUUUAAAUAAGUUUUCUAUAAACAUCUAUUUUAAGAAAAUUAUCAUUUUUGUAGAGAAAUAUUGUAGAUUUGAAAUUGUGAUUUAGAAAUUAGGAUAACAAGAACUUUUUUUUGAUAGAUGGGCAUUCUUUUAGAUUUUUUUAUCAAUAGGUUUUAUUUUUAAAUAAAUUUUCUAAAAAGUGCUAUUUUGGGAAAGUUAUCAAUUUUGUAGAGAAAUAUUGUUAAUUUACGAUUAUGAUUGGGAAAUUAGGAUAACAAGAGUUUUUGCUGAUCGAUGGGCAUUCUUUUAGAAUUUUUGAUCAAUAUGUUGCAUUUUUAAAUAUAUUUUAUAAAAAUUAUUAUUUUUGGAUUGUCAUCAUUUUUGUAGGGAUAAAUAUUGUAGAUUUGAGAUUAUGAUUGAGAAAUUAGGAUAACAAGAGUUUUUGUUGAUCGGUGGGCAUUUUUUUAGAAUGUUUGAUCAAUAGGUUUAAUUUUAAAUUAAUUUUUAAAAAAUUGUUUUUUUGGGAGAAUCAUCAAUUCUGUAUAGAAAUAUUGUAGAUUUGAAAUUUUGAUUAAGCAAUUGAAAGAACAAGAGUUUUUGUUGUAGAUGGGCAUUUGAUAAGAAUUUUUGAAUACUAUUUUGUAUUUUUCAUAUAAAUAUUUCUGAAACUGCUAUUUUAAGAAAGUUAUCAUUUUGUACAGUAAUAUUGUCGAUUUGGGAUUGCGAUUGAGAAAUUAGAAUAACAAGAGUUUUUGUUGAUAGAUGGACAUUCUUUUAGAAUUUUUGAGCAAUAUGUUUCUUUUUUAAAGAAUUUUUGUAAAAACUGUUAUUUUCGGAAACUUAUCGUUUUUGUAGAGAAAUGUUGUAGAUUUGGGAUUGUGAUUGAGAAAUUAAGAUAACAAUAGUUUUUAUUGAUAGAUGGGCAUUGUUUUAGAAUUUUUAUGCAAUAGGUUGCAUUUUUUUAAGAAAUUUUCUAAAAAUUGCCAUUUUAGGAAAGUUAUUACUUUUGUAGAGAAAUAUUGUAGAUUUGGGAUUGUGAUUGAGAAAUUAGGAUAACAAGAGUCUUUGUUGAUAGAUGGAUAUUCUUUUAGAUUUUUUCAACAAAAGGUUGGGAAAUUAGGAUAACAUGAGUUUUUUGUUAAUAGAUGGGCAUUCUUUUAGAAUUUUUGAGCAAUAUGUUACAUUUUUAAAAGAAAUUUCCUAAAAACUGCUAUUUUUGGAAAGUUAUUAAUUUUGUACAGCAAUAUUGUAGAUUUGAAACUCUUGUUUAGAAAUUAGGAUAACAAGAGUUUUUGUUGAUAGAUGGGCAUUCUUUUAGAAUGUUUGAUCAAUAGGUUUAAUUUUAAAUAUUUUUUUUUUAAAAUUGAUACUUUGGGAAAAUUAUCAAUUCUGUAUUGAUUGUGAUUGGAAAAUUAGGAUAACAAGAGUUUUUUUUAUAGAUGGGCAUUCUUUUAGAAUUUUUGAGCAAUAUGUUGCAUCUUUUAAAUAAGUUUUCUAUAAACAUCUAUUUUAAGAAAAUUAUCAUUUUUGUAGAGAAAUAUUGUAGAUUUGAAAUUGUGAUUUAGAAAUUAGGAUAACAAGAACUUUUUUUUGAUAGAUGGGCAUUCUUUUAGAUUUUUUUAUCAAUAGGUUUUAUUUUUAAAUAAAUUUUCUAAAAAGUGCUAUUUUGGGAAAGUUAUCAAUUUUGUAGAGAAAUAUUGUUAAUUUACGAUUAUGAUUGGGAAAUUAGGAUAACAAGAGUUUUUGCUGAUCGAUGGGCAUUCUUUUAGAAUUUUUGAUCAAUAUGUUGCAUUUUUAAAUAUAUUUUAUAAAAAUUAUUAUUUUUGGAUUGUCAUCAUUUUUGUAGGGAUAAAUAUUGUAGAUUUGAGAUUAUGAUUGAGAAAUUAGGAUAACAAGAGUUUUUGUUGAUCGGUGGGCAUUUUUUUAGAAUGUUUGAUCAAUAGGUUUAAUUUUAAAUUAAUUUUUAAAAAAUUGUUUUUUUGGGAGAAUCAUCAAUUCUGUAUAGAAAUAUUGUAGAUUUGAAAUUUUGAUUAAGCAAUUGAAAGAACAAGAGUUUUUGUUGUAGAUGGGCAUUUGAUAAGAAUUUUUGAAUACUAUUUUGUAUUUUUCAUAUAAAUAUUUCUGAAACUGCUAUUUUAAGAAAGUUAUCAUUUUGUACAGUAAUAUUGUCGAUUUGGGAUUGCGAUUGAGAAAUUAGAAUAACAAGAGUUUUUGUUGAUAGAUGGACAUUCUUUUAGAAUUUUUGAGCAAUAUGUUUCUUUUUUAAAGAAUUUUUGUAAAAACUGUUAUUUUCGGAAACUUAUCGUUUUUGUAGAGAAAUGUUGUAGAUUUGGGAUUGUGAUUGAGAAAUUAAGAUAACAAUAGUUUUUAUUGAUAGAUGGGCAUUGUUUUAGAAUUUUUAUGCAAUAGGUUGCAUUUUUUUAAGAAAUUUUCUAAAAAUUGCCAUUUUAGGAAAGUUAUUACUUUUGUAGAGAAAUAUUGUAGAUUUGGGAUUGUGAUUGAGAAAUUAGGAUAACAAGAGUCUUUGUUGAUAGAUGGAUAUUCUUUUAGAUUUUUUCAACAAAAGGUUGGGAAAUUAGGAUAACAUGAGUUUUUUGUUAAUAGAUGGGCAUUCUUUUAGAAUUUUUGAGCAAUAUGUUACAUUUUUAAAAGAAAUUUCCUAAAAACUGCUAUUUUUGGAAAGUUAUUAAUUUUGUACAGCAAUAUUGUAGAUUUGAAACUCUUGUUUAGAAAUUAGGAUAACAAGAGUUUUUGUUGAUAGAUGGGCAUUCUUUUAGAAUGUUUGAUCAAUAGGUUUAAUUUUAAAUAUUUUUUUUUUAAAAUUGAUACUUUGGGAAAAUUAUCAAUUCUGUAUUGAAAUAUUGUAAAUUUGAAAUUGUGAUUAAACAAUUGAGAUAACAAGAGUUUUUGUUGAUAGAUGGGCAUUUGAUAAGAAUUUUUGAAUACUAUUUUGUAUUUCUCAAAUAAAUAUUUCUGAAACUGCUAUUUCAAGAAAGUUAUCAUUUUGUACAGAAAUAUUGUCGAUUUGGGAUUGUGAUUGAGAAUUAGGAUAGCAAGAGUUUUUUUUGAUGGAUGGGCAUUCUUUUAAAAGUUUUGAUGAAUAUGUUGCAUUUUUCAAAUAAGUUUCUUAAAAACUGCUAUUUUGGGAAUGUAAUCAUUUUUGUAGAGAAAUAUUGUAGAUUUGGGAUUGUGAUUGAGAAAUUACGAUAACAAGAGUUUUUGUUGAUAUAUGGACAUUCUUUUAGAAUUUUUGAGCAAUAGGUUGUAUUUUUUAAAAAAAAUUUCUAAAAGCUGCUAUUUUUGGAAAGUUAUUACUUUUGUGGAGAAAUAUUGUAAAAUAUUGUAGAUUUUAGAUUGUGAUUGAGAAAUUAGGAUAACAAGAGUUUUUGUUGAUAGAUGGAGAUUCUUUUAGAUUUUUUGAACAAUAGGUUGCAUCUUUUAAAUAAAUGUUCUAUAAACUUCUAUUUUAGGAAAAUUAUUAUUUUUGAAGGGAAAUAUUGUAGAUUUGGGAUUGUGAUUUAGAAAUUAGGAUAACAAGAGCUUUUUUGAUUGAUGAGCAUUAUUUUAGAAGUUUAGAUCAAUAGGUUUUAUUUUUAAAUAAAUUUUCUAAAAGGUGUUUUUUUGGGAAAGUUAUCAAUUUUGUAGAGAUAUAUUGUAGAUUUGCGAUUAUGAUUGAGAAAUUAGGAUAACAAGAGUUUUUGUUGAUCGAUGGGCAUUCUUUUAGAAUUUUUGAUCAAUAUGUUGCAUUUUUAAAUACAUUUUAUAUAAACUGCUAUUUUAGUAAAGUAAUCGUUUUUGUAGAGAAAUAUUGUCGAUUUGGGAUUGUGAUUGAAAAAUUAGGAUAACAAGAGUUUUUGUUGAUAGAUGGGCAUUCAUUUAGAAUUUUUGAGCAAUAGGUUGCAUCUUUUAGAUUUGGGAUUAUGAUUGAAAAAUUAUGAUAACAAGAAUUUUAGUUGAUAGAUAGGCAUUCUUUUAGAAUGUUUGAUCAAUAGGUUUAUUUUUAGGUAUAUUUUUUAAAAUUGCUUUUUUGGGAAAAUCAUCAAUUCUGUAUAGAAAUAAUGUAGAUUUGAAAUUGUGAUUAAGCAAUUAAUAUAACAAGAGUUUUUGUUGAUAGAUGGGCAUUUGAUAAGAAUUUUUGAAUACUAUUUUGUAUUUCUCAAAUAAAUAUUUCUGAAACUGCUAUUUUAAGAAAGUUAUCAUUUUGUACAGAAAUAUUGUCGAUUUGGGAUUGUGAUUGAGAAAUUUGAAUAACAAGAGAUUUUAUUGAUAGAUGAACAUUCUUUUAGAAUUUUUGAGCAAUAUGUUGUAUUUUUUAAGAAAUUUUGUAAAAACUGCUAUUUUUGGAAACUUAUCAUUUUUGUGGAGAAAUAUUUUAGAUUUGGGAUUGUGAUUGAGAAAUUAAGAUAACAAUAGUUUUUGUUGAUAGAUGGGAAUUUUUUUUAGAAUUUUUAAGCAAUAGGUUGCAUUUUAUAAAGAAAUUUUCUAAAAACUGCUAUUUUAGGAAAGUUAUUACUUUUGUAGAGAAAUAUUGUAGAUUUGGGAUUGUGAUUGAGAAAUUAAGAUAACAAUAGUUUUUGUUGAUAGAUGGGAAUUUUUUUUAGAAUUUUUAAGCAAUAGGUUGCAUUUUAUAAAGAAAUUUUCUAAAAACUGCUAUUUUAGGAAAGUUAUUACUUUUGUAGAGAAAUAUUGUAGAUUUGAGAUUGUGAUUUGGAAAUUAGGAUAACAAGAACUUUUUUUUUGAUAGAUGAGCAUUAUUUUAGUAUUUUUGAUCAAAAGGUUAUAUUUUUAAAUAAAUUUUCUAAAAAGUGCUAUUUCGGGAAAGUUAUCAAUUUUUGUAGAGAAAUAAUGUAGAUUUGCGAUUAUGGUUGGGAAAUUAGGAUAACAAGAUUUUUGCUGAUCGAUGGGCAUUCUUUUAGAAUUUUUGAUCAAUAUGUUGUAUUUUUUAUAUAUAUUUUAUAAGAACUGCUAUUUUAGGAAAGUCAUCAUUUUUGUAGAGAAAUAUUGUAGAUUUGAGAUUGUGAUUGAGAAUUAGGAUAACAAGAGUUUUUGUUAUAGAUGGGCUUUCUUUUAGAAUAUUUGAGCAAUAGGUUGCAUUUUUUAACGAAAUUUAAAACUGCUAGUUUAGGAAAGUUAUUACUUUUGUCGAAAAAUAUUGUAGAUUUGGAAUUGUUAUUUAGAAAUUAGAAUAACAAGAGUUUUUAUUGAUAGAUGGGCAUUUGAUAAGAAUUUUUGAAUAUUAUUUUGUAUUUUUUAAAUAAAUAUUUCUGAUACUGCUAUUUUAAGAAAGUUAUCAUUUUGUUGAAAAAUAUUAUCGAUUUGGGAUUGUGAUUGAGAAUUAGGAUAACACGAGUUUUUGUUCAAAGAUGAGCAUUCUUUUUGAAAUUAUGAUCAAUAUGUUGUAUUUUUUAAAUAAAUUUUGUAAAAACUGCUAUUUUGGUAAAGUCAUCAUUUUUGUAAAGAAAUAUUGUAGAUUUGAGAUUGUNNNNNNNNNNNNNNNNNNNNNNNNNNNNNNNNNNNNNNNNNNNNNNNNNNNNNNNNNNNNNNNNNNNNNNNNNNNNNNNNNNNNNNNNNNNNNNNNNNNNCUUUUGUCGAGAAAUAUUGAAGAUUUGAGAUUGUUAUUUAGAAAUUAGGAUAACAAGAGUUUUUAUUGAUAUAUGGGCAUUUGAUAAGAAUUUUUGAAUAUUAUUUUUUAUUUUUUAAAUAAAUAUUUCUGAUACUGCUAUUUUAAGAAAGUUACCAUUUUGUUGAGAAAUAUUGUCCAUUUGGGAUUGUGAUUGAGAAUUAGGAUAACAAGAGUUUUUUUGAUAGAUGAGCAUUUUUUUAGAAUUUUUGAUCAAUAGGUUUUAUUUUUAAAUAAAUUUUCUAAAAAGUGGUACAUGGAGAAAGUUAUCAAUUUUGUACAUAAAUAUUGUAGAUUUGUGAUUGUGAUUGAAAAAUUAGGAUAACAAGAAUUUUUGUUGAUCGAUGGCCAUUCUUUUAGAAUUUUUGACCAAUAUGUUGCAUUUUUAAAUAUAUUUUAUAAAAAUUAUUAUUUUUGGACUGUCAUCAUUUUUGUAGGGAUAAAUAUUGUAGAUUUGAGAUUAUGAUUGAGAAAUUAGGAUAACAAGAGUUUUUGUUGAUAGAGAGGCUUUUUUUAGAAUGUCUGAUAAAUAGGUUUCAUUUUAAAUAAAUUUUUUAAAAAUUGCUUUUUUUGAGAAAAUCAUCAAUUCUGUAUAGAAAUAUUGUAGAUUUGAAAUUGUGAUUAUGCAAUUGAGAUAACAAGAGUUUUUGUUGAUAGAUGGGCAUUUGAUAAGAAUUUUUGAAUACUAUUUUGUAUUUUUCAAAUAAAUAUUUCUGAAACCGCUAUUUUAAGAAAGUUAUCAGUUUGUACAGAAAUAUUGUCGAUUUGGGAUUACGAUUGAGAAAUUAGAGUAACAAGAGUUUUUGUUAAUAUAUGGACAUUCUUUUAGAAUUUUUGAGCAAUACAGUUUUAAAGAAAUUUUCUAAAAACUGCUAUUUUAGGAAACUUAUCAUUUUUGUAAAGAAAUAUUGUAGAUUUGAAAUUGUGAUUAAGCAAUGGGAAUAACAAGAGUUUUUGUUGAUAGAUGGGAAUUGUUUUAGAAUUUUUAAGCAAUAUGUUGCAUUUUUUAAAUAUAUUUUAUAAGAACUACUAUUUUAGGAAAGUCGUCAUUUUUCUAGAGAAAUAUUGUAGAUUUGGGAUUGUGAUUGAAAAAUUAGGAUAACAAGAGUUUUUGUUGAUAGAUGGGCAUUCUUUUAGAAUGUUUGAUCAAUAGAUUUAAUUUUAAAUAAUAUUUUUAAAAAUUGCUGUUUUGGGAAAAUCAUCAAUUCUGUGUAGAAAUUUUGUAGAUUUGAAAUUGCGAUUAGGCAAUUGAGAUAACAAGAGUUUUCGUUGAUAGAUGGGCAUUUGAUAAGAAUUUUUGAAUACUAUUUUGUAUUUUUCAAAUAAAUAUUUCUGAAACUGCUAUUUUAAGAAAGUUAUCAGUUUGUACAUAAAUAUUGUCGAUUUGGGAUUGCGAUUGAGAAAUUAGAGUAACAAGAGUUUUUGUUGAUAUUUGGACGUUCUUUUAGAAUUUUUGAGCAAUAUGUUGCAUUUUUAAAGAAAUUUUCUACAAACUGAUAUUUAAGGAAACUUAUCAUUUUUGUAAAGAAAUAUUGUAGAUUUGGGAUUAUGAUUGAGAAAUUAGGAUAUCAAUAGUUUUUGUUGAUAGAUGGACAUUGUUUUAGAAUUUUAAAGCAAUAGGUUGCAUUUUUUAAAGAAAUUUUCUAAAAACUACUAUUUUAGGAAAAUUAUUACUUUGUAGAGAAAUAUUGUAGAUUUGGGAUUGUGAUUGAGAAAUUAGGAUAACAAGAGUUUUUGUUGAUAGAUGGACAUUCUUUUAGAUUUUUUAAACAAUAGGUUGCAUCUUUUAAAUAAAUGUUCUAAUAACUUCUAUUUUAGGAAAAUUAUUAUUUUUGUAGAGAAAUAU